rnacentral:sRNA from 1 species
AUAAAUCCUGUUGCUUCAAACAAAAGCUCAUAGACCUUGGGAGGAAGGAAGACAGCCUCUUGCUAUACACUUUAGAAAGGACACUUAGGUGAUAUUCAUGGUCAAAUGUUAGCAGGGCUGUUUAGGGCCAAUUCACACAUAUGUGGACAAAACUCAGGAAACAAGAAACUCCCUGUUUAGCAAUUGUCUUUUCUUUUGCAGCUUCUCUUUUCUUCUCUCUUUUCUGAAGAACGAAUGGAUGUACAGCCAUUUCUGGUAUUCCUAAUUCCUUUCCUUCAUUUUAUCAUUUUUCUUUUUACUCUUCGAUGUCUGGAAUGGAAGUUUGGAAAGAAAUCAAUGAGAAAGGAUCCUUUCUUUAGAAUUUCUCCAAGAAGUAGUGAUGUGUGUCAAAAUCCAGAAGAACCAGAAGGAGAAGAUGAAGAUGUUCAGAUGGAAAGAGUGAGAACAGCAAAUGCCUUGAAUUCUACUAAUUUUGAUGAGAAGCCAGUCAUCAUUGCCAGCUGUCUACGCAAGGAGUAUGCAGGGAAGAGGAAAGGCUGUUUUUCCAAGAGGAAGAAUAAGAUAGCCACGAGAAAUGUCUCCUUCUGUGUUAGAAAAGGUGAAGUUUUAGGACUAUUAGGACACAAUGGAGCUGGUAAAAGCACAUCCAUUAAGAUGAUAACUGGAGACACAAAACCAACUGCUGGACAGGUGCUACUGAAAGGGAGCGGUGGAGGGGAUGCCCUGGAGUUCCUGGGGUACUGCCCUCAGGAGAACGCGCUGUGGCCCAACCUGACAGUGAGGCAGCACCUGGAGGUGUACGCCGCCGUGAAAGGGCUGAGGAAAGGAGAUGCUGAGGUUGCCAUCACACGGUUAGUGGAUGCGCUCAAGCUGCA